AGAGCUUUAGGUUAACGUAAAAACUAUAUGUCUUCAAAACAUAUGAUUUUAAGCUUUU
rnacentral:tRNA from 1 species